ACUCAAAGGAAUUGACGGGGGCCCGCACAAGCGGCGGAGCGUGCGGUUUAAUUCGACGCAACGCGCAGAACCUUACCAGGGCUUGACAUGCCCCUGCAGAGCCGGGAAACCGGUUGGCUUUCGAAGGUGGGGCACAGGUGCUGCAUGGCUGUCGUCAGCUCGUGUCGUGAGAUGUUGGGUUAAGUCCCGCAACGAGCGCAACCCUCGUGGCUAGUUGCCGAUGUUUCUAGCCAGACUGCCGGUAGCAAGCCGGAGGAAGGUGGGGAUGAUGUCAAGUCAGCAUGGCCCUUACGUCCUGGGCUACACGCACGCUACAAUGGCCGGGACAGUGGGCCGCCAAACCGCAAGGUGGAGCGAAUCCCCCAAACCCGGUCUCAGUUCAGAUCGCGGGCUGCAACUCGCCCGCGUGAAGGUGGAGUCGCUAGUAACCGCGGGUCAGCACUACCGCGGUGAAUACGUUCCCGGGCCUUGUACACACCGCCCGU
rnacentral:rRNA from 1 species